rnacentral:rRNA from 1 species
CAGACGAUGCGUCAUGCAUAUCAAUAAGCGGAGGAAAAGAAACUAACAAGGAUUCCCUUAGUAACGGCGAGUGAAGCGGGAAGAGCUCAAAUUUGAAAUCUUCAAGGUUCUACCUUGACGAAUUGUAGUUUAAAGAAGUGUUUUCUGUUGAAGUGUAGUGGCUAAAAGUUCUUUGGAAUAGGACAUCAUAGAGGGUGAGAAUCCCGUAUUUGACCAUUAUUUUCAGCUGUGUGAUACACUUUCAAAGAGUCGGAUUGUUUGGGAAUGCAGUCCAAAAUGGGUGGUAAAUUUCAUCUAAAGCUAAAUAUUGGCGAGAGACCGAUAGCGAACAAGUACCGUGAGGGAAAGAUGAAAAGAACUUUGAAAAGAGAGUUAAACAGUACGUGAAAUUGUCAAAAGGGAAGCGUUUGACACCAGUGUUGUUUUCUCGAAAAUCAAUUAAAAAGAGUUGGAUUUUGUGUUGUAUUGACCUUAACAGCUUGCUUCACUCUUUUCCUGCUUUUUUUAAUGCACUUUUCGUCUAACAAGUCAACAUCAGUUUCUUUUGUUGUAAAAGGGUCAUUGGAAGGUGGCUUUCUCUUCGGAGAAAAGUGUUUAUAGCCUUUGAUCUCUGCAAUCGGAGAGACUGAGGUCUGCAGCGUAGAUCCUUCGGGGUUAGAUACAUUUGUGCUAAGCUACAGCUUUUCAUAGACAACUUGUUGACUAUGCUUUAGUCUUGUAACUUACCCGCUUAUGCUAUUUUACCUACGCUUAGGAUGUUGAUAUGCAUGACUGAUAU